CCUUUACUGCAGCUUCGCAGUGGCGCCAGGAAGGGACUGUGUAGGAUAGGUGGGAGGCUUUGAAGCCGGGGCGCUAGCCUUGGUGGAGCCAACCUUGAAAUACCACCCUGUGCCUUUCUGGCGUCUAACCGAACCCCGUUCAUCCGGGGUCGGGACCCUGCGUGGUGGGCAGUUUGACUGGGGCGGUCGCCUCCCAAAUGGUAACGGAGGCGCGCGAUGGUGGGCUCAAGCCGGUCGGACAUCGGCUGUUGAGUGCAAAGGCACAAGCCCGCCUGACUGCGAGCCCGACAGGGCGAGCAGAGACGAAAGUCGGCCUUAGUGAUCCGGUGGUCCCGCGUGGAAGGGCCAUCGCUCAACGGAUAAAAGGUA
rnacentral:rRNA from 1 species